CGCCCCCCUCUCGCGCGUGAGCGCGCCCUCUCGGCUCCUGGCGCGUCAACAUUCCGCGGCCCAGGCCUUGGGGCGCGUCUGAGGAGGGGGAUGUCUGUGGCCUCUCCGCCCACACUUCCUCCACCCACCGCCCGCAGCGCCCCAGAAGGACCUAUUACUCGUUGGGCUUCUGAAGGCCGAAGCCAGGCUCUGGAGGGGAUAGAACCCUGAAGGGCCUGCGCCAGCUCCAACUUAGGGCCCUUAUCUUUUGCUGCCUCUUAUGUAUUGUAGGCAGUGCCUGAUGGCUGAGAAGAAUCGCGGAGGACUAGAAAAGGUUUGAGUCUGAAAUUAUCUGCCACAGAGAGUUAGAGCUCAGAAAUAAGUUAUUGUGAAACAGUUCAACUUCCAUGUUAACGACAACGACAAUAACAACAACACGCUUAUUAAUUCCUAGCUGGAGCAUCAAGCUUAUGAAGAUUUCCAAGUAAGACUUUAUUGUUGACCCUUGUUGAAGAGAACUCUACUUGGCUUCGUUCCUGGCUUUCCUAAAUUGUUCACAUACAAGAUAAACUACCAUCAUUCAGACUUACAGAAGUGAGAAGACAAGCUGAACCAAAUGUAAAAUGGUAGCAAUUUACAGAUGUCAGAACUAACAUGUGGAUGAACUUCGAGAUGGAGAAGAAAACUGGGCUUUUCCAAAGAGUGGAUCUAUCUGAACUGGAUAGCACUAUUGAACUUCGUUGCAUAUUUUGUGGUAGCUCUAAAACUCCUUUGCUUGCUUACUUUUAAAUGCAAUGUGUUGCUGUACAUACAUACAACCAGACACCAGUGCCUUCUGCAGCUAAUCCAGGCCAUUUUUAUAACCUAAUGCAGUAGCACUUUGCAAUUAGAUGAAGAUCAGUGGGAUUUCUUUCUGUGGUGAUUAAAAUGUGUCAGGGGAAGAAUCAAGACAAUACUCCAAGUGAAAAAUAUAAAGUCAGUUAUUUCUUUAA
rnacentral:antisense_RNA from 1 species